GUGCUCGAUGAAGUGCUUACUGCAUUUUUUCUUACACAUGUGUUUUUCUUUUUUUGAAAACUUUGCUUUGGUAGGCCUUCUAUAUGGGGCCUGCCAGAGAUUAAACUCAACCAAAUUUUAUUUAAUGUCAACCGAUUAUUUAAUAGUCAAAACUUUCAACAACGGAUCUCUUGGUUCUCGCAUCGAUGAAGAACGCAGCGAAAUGCGAUAAGUAAUAUGAAUUGCAGAUAUUCGUGAAUCAUCGAAUCUUUGAACGCACAUUGCGCCCUUUGGUAUUCCAAAGGGCAUGCCUGUUUGAGCGUCAUUUCUCCCUCAAACCCUCGGGUUUGGUGUUGAGCGAUACGCUGGGUUUGCUUGAAAGAAAGGCGGAGUAUAAACUAAUGGAUAGGUUUUUUCCACUCAUUGGUACAAACUCCAAAACUUCUUCCAAAUUCGACCUCAAAUCAGGUAGGACUACCCGCUGAACUUAAGCAUAUCAAUAAAGCGGAGGAAUAA
rnacentral:rRNA from 1 species